AGUGAACGCUGGCGGUAGGCCUAACACAUGCAAGUCGAACGGCAGCACAGUAAGAGCUUGCUCUUACGGGUGGAGAGUGGCGGACGGGUGAGGAAUCCAUCGGAAUCUACUUUUUCGUGGGGGAUAACGUCGGGAAACUUACGCUAAUACCGCAUACGACCUACGGGUGAAAGCAGGGGAUCUUCGGAGCUUGCGCGAUUGAAUGAGCCGAUGUCGGUUUAGCUAGUUGGCGGGCUAAAGGCCCUCCAAGGCGACGGUCGGUAGCUGGUAUGAGAGGAUGAUCAGCUAGCUGGGAACUGAGCCACAGCACAGACUCUUAGGGUGGGCACCGGUGCGGAAUAUUGGGCGAGGGGGGCAAGCCGGAUCCAGCCAUACCGCGUAGGUGCAGAAGGCCUUCGGGUUGUAGAGCCCUUUUGUUGGGAAAGAAAAGCAGCAGGUUCAGACCCCGCUGUUCUGACGGUACCCAAAGAAUAAGCCCCGGCUAACUUCGUG
rnacentral:rRNA from 1 species